rnacentral:rRNA from 1 species
UACGAAGGGGGCUAGCGUUGUUCGGAAUUACUGGGCGUAAAGCGCGCGCAGGCGGCUAUCCAAGUCAGUGGUGAAAGCCCGGGGCUCAACUCCGGAAUUGCCUUUAAGACUGCAUCGCUAGAAUUGUGGAGAGGUGAGUGGAAUUCCGAGUGUAGAGGUGAAAUUCGUAGAUAUUCGGAAGAACACCAGUGGCGAAGGCGACUCACUGGACACAUAUUGACGCUGAGGUGCGAAAGCGUGGGGAGCAAACAGG